UUUAAUGAGCUCUAUAGAAAGUGGUGUGUAUAGACGGACAGCUGAACUUUGACUCUGCGCUAGAAUAAAGAGGUUAAAGAAGAGGGGAGGAGUGUAGAGCUGAGUUUGUAGGAGGGACCAUCAUUAAGAGAAGUGAGCAGUUCCUGGUUUGUCAGAGAAGAAAGAAGAGAAGCAGCAUUAAAGCAUCAGAGCCUCAACAUGAAAGUCUUCCACACUUUUUUCUGUUUCCUCUUCAUCGCACUGCAGGAUGAAAACACUGGAUGUGUCAAUGCAGACGGCCGAAUCCACACAGUAAUGGAAGGAGAAGACAUCACAGUUACAUGUCUAUUUACUUUACCUGGGAUCAAAAACAUAUUCUGCCGGGGAACAUGUGAAGAAGGAAACAUUCUCAUUGAAACAACAGAGGAUACGGCUGAGGAUGGCAGAUACAGCAUUAGAUAUGAAGAGGACAUUCCUGAGUCAGAUUAUUUUCUGCAUGUGAGCAUCAAACAGCUGAAGAAGUCUGACUCUGGUUGGUACAGAUGUUCUAUGGAAAGAUCUUUGCUUCCAGUUUCAUCCUGGGAUUUUCAGAUUGUUGUCAAAGCAGAAACUCUUCCAACUUUUCCACCAUCAUCGUUUUUCCCAUCAUCCUCCACUGAAUCCUCCGAGCAGCCCGGCUCAUCUCAAGCAUGGUCAGGU